rnacentral:rRNA from 1 species
UACGUAGGUGGCGAGCGUUGUCCGGAUUUACUGGGUGUAAAGGGCGAGUAGGCGGGCUUGCAAGUCAGGUGUGAAAGCCCGGGGCUCAACCCCGGAACUGCACUUGAAACUGUAGGUCUUGAGUGAUGGAGAGGCAGGCGGAAUUCCCGGUGUAGCGGUGGAAUGCGUAGAUAUCGGGAGGAACACAGUGGCGAAGGCGGCCUGCUGGACAUUAACUGACGCUGAGGAGCGAAAGUGUGGGGAGCAAACA